ensembl:lncRNA
CUUCAGUAAAGCUAAAACAAGAAUACAUUUACAUCCUCGGUUCUUUCAGUAUUAAUUGGAAAACUUUGUUGAGAUUUGCUGUUAUAUGAAAAAAAUGUUUUCUGUGCAGAAAAUCUGAUAGGAAUUCUUCUAUUGGAGAUGUGGAUUUGGAUUCAAAAGUGCUGGACAUUCAGCGUCAUCACCCAAAUGCCGACUGCAGAAUGAUGAUGGGACAUCAGGCAUACACAUUCAAAGAUUUCGACUGAUGGAUUCAAUGAGACGAGUCAAUCCAGAAGGGGUCAAGAUGCGACGGUUAUCUAUUAAGACUGCAAGGCGUUUUCAGUACAGUGUACCAGCAGCAAAUCACCUUUGGCAUAUAGAUGGAAAUCAGCAUUGAGCACCUGUGGAGGGAUGUAUAUGAAAACAUCUUCACCCAGCUGGAGAUUCAAGGACUGCUCAACCCUGGUGAAAAAAUUCACUUGUUUGCUCUGCACAGAUGCUUUUUGCAUCACAUUCAACAUCAUCUUCAGUCAUUCCAGGAAGCAUGGAAUCAGCACGGACUCAGAAAAGCAAACAACCAUUCACCCCUGCACCUCUGGUUGCUGCACAUAAAGGAGGGACAAGAUUUGUCACAGGUUGAUGAGGAUUAUGGUGUGGACUGGACAGGACCACAUAAUCACCGCCCAUCAAAUGAGAUCACCAUUCUUGAGAUUCAGCUCCCACGUGCACUGAAUGAACGAGACCCUGCUGUGCUACCAAACAACAACGUUUCACUCAGUCAAGCUUUGGAUGCCUACUAUGAAACUGUUCAGUCACUCAAACUUAUGUUUGAGACCUCACCUUAACUCUUCAAAGUAAGCAGGUGCAAUAUGUUCACACCCAAUUUCUUGCAUAACCAUACUUCAAAAUCACUUGUAGAAAGACACUAUCACAUUUAAUCAAUUUCUAUGUCAGGAGGAUUUUUUUUUAAAUUUCUACAUCUCUGGCUUUGUAGCUAAUACUGACUCAAAACAGCAUAACCAAUUUCAUUUUCAACAAAACAGUGGGUGGCUAUAAAACAGGAUUUGUUUUAUACAGCUGUCACUUUAAUGAUAUUCAUUUCUUGGUUGGAUGUACAGUACAUGUCAACUCUGAGCAGAUUUAAUACAAUGAACACAGAACAGUAGUGUAACAUCUUAAUUCAAAUAAUUUUUUCUAGAAAAUUUUUUUGUACCUGUAGCGAGUAUAAA